CAGUAGCCGCGGUAAUACGUAGGGUGCGAGCGUUAACCGGAAUUACUGGGCGUAAAGCGUGUGUAGGUGGUUGUUUAAGUCUGUCGUGAAAGCCCUGGGCUCAACCUGGGAAUUGCGAUGGAUACUGGGCGACUAGAGUGCGGUAGAGGAUAGUGGAAUUUCCGGUGUAGCAGUGAAAUGCGUAGAGAUCGGAAGGAACAUCUGUGGCGAAGGCGACUAUCUGGGCCAACACUGACACUGAGACACGAAAGCGUGGGGAGCAAACAGGAUUAGAUACCCCAGUAGUCCCUGUCUCUUAUAC
rnacentral:rRNA from 1 species